UAUUGGAUUCUUCAAAACAGUAGAAGGGACAUAUUUUCGUCACUACAUCUGUUUUAAACAUAUAGCUUAUUCAAGGCCGAAGAUUGUAAGCGUGAUAUAAUAAUAAAAUUUUAAAUUAAAUCAACAACAUCUCAGAUAUUGUAAGACAUCGUAAACAAUUAUUUUAUUCUUAACAUUUACAAUUGUCUUAAAAAUUUUACUAUAUUAAACACACAGUUUGAAUUAUUUCACCGAAAUGAAACUAUAGAAUUUAUAUGUAGCAUAUAAUUCAAGUAAGUUGAUUGAUUGAUGUAACGCGAAUCAGUUCGUUAAGUACCAUAAAUGUAGUUGCUGCGAUUAUUGGUGAACGCAUGAGAUAAAUUCACGGAGCUAAAAAUGAUCGAUAAAAAAGUGAAUCGUAAUCUGAUUCAUAUUUCAUAAAAGGAUGAAAAUGUGAUUCACAUUAAAAAAAAUAAAAAAAAAAUAUUGCUUUUA